rnacentral:rRNA from 1 species
CCUACGGGUGGCAGCAGUCGAGAAUCAUUCACAAUGGGGGAAACCCUGAUGGUGCGACGCCGCGUGGAGGAAUGAAGGUCUUCGGAUUGUAAACCCCUGUCAUGUGGGAGCAAAUUAAAAAGAUAGUACCACAAGAGGAAGAGACGGCUAACUCUGUGCCAGCAGCCGCGGUAAUACAGAGGUCUCAAGUGUUGUUCGGAAUCACUGGGCGUAAGGCGUGCGUAGGCUGUUUCGUAAGUCGUGUGUGAAAGGCGCGGGCUCAACCCGCGGACGGCACAUGAUACUGCGAGACUAGAGUAAUGGAGGGGGAACCGGAAUUCUCGGUGUAGCAGUGAAAUGCGUAGAUAUUGAGAGGAACACUCGUGGCGAAGGCGGGUUCCUGGACAUUAACUGACGCUGAGGCACGAAGGCCAGGGGAGCGAAAGGGAUUAGAUACCCGAGUAGUC